AAAAAUAAAAAAAUAAAAUAGGAUAAGCCCCGGUGGACAUUCGCCAAACACCUUCGACCACCCAACACCUCCGAUAAACCGAAACCUCCGAUUAAUGUCUACUUUCUCUGUGGUGGCUACAUUGACUUUGUCAACAACUGGCAGUUUAAUUAGGGAUUCUCCACCCUAUACCCGAAUUCGAUGCUGCUCCGACUCUAAGCGAAAACGUGGCUUUGGCCCUCAACAAGACGAUAAAGAUGCGAACAAGGUUUCCGGCGAUGGUUCAGUAUCCGGUGGAAGGAAAUCAACCUUUCAACAAUCUGGUACUACAUCUUAUAGGGAACCUUGGUUAAGUUCUAAAUCUAAUAGCAUUCAGAGCAAUGUUUCUCUAGACCUGCAGUUUGAGGAUCGUCUGGAAGCAAUUAAAAGGUCAACACUUGACCAGAAGAAGGCAGAACAAAUUGAUAAAUUUGGAAAAAUUGAAUAUGAUGCUCCUGUGGAAUCAGCACCUAGCAAGACUGAACUUGGUACCAAGAUUGGAUUAGGGCUUGCUGUGGUAGUCUUUGGGUUUAUUUUUGCUCUCGGAGACUUUAUUCCUACUCAAAGCUCAAGUGAAGAUGGAGUCAAUGUCGAAAUGUCUGAAGAAGACAAGGCAGACCUUCAGGCCCAGAUGCAAAAUUUUGAAGAAACAUUAAAGAUUUCUCCAAAAGAUUCAACUGCCUUAGAAGGAGAGGCAGCAAUAUUAGCAAAAUUAGGAGAGUAUCCUAGGGCAGCUUCUCUGCUCGAAGAUAUCAUCAAAAAUAAUUCAAGUAGUCCUGAUGCUUUUUGUUUGCUUGGAGAAGUAAAAUAUAAUCUGAAGGAUUACGAAGGAAGUGCUGCUGCAUACAAGAGCUCAGCAGCGAUGGCUAAAUCUCUUAAUUUUAAAGUGUUGAGAGGCCUCACAAAUGCAUUAAUUGCGGCUAAAAGACCGGAUGAGGCUGUUCAGAUUCUUUUGGUCUUGCGUGAACGUCUUCAUUCAGAGGAAUCACAAGGUGUUGCUAACAAGGUUGAUGAUAGUGCAGUAGGAGAAUUAGUGGAGGUGGAUCCUAUUCAAGUUGAAUUGCUUCUUGGAAAAGCAUAUGCAGAUUGGGGUCAUGUUAGUGAUGCUGUUUCUGUAUAUGAUCAUCUCAUUUCCAGCCAUCCUGAUGAUUUUCAGGGUUACUUGGCAAAGGGAAUUAUAUUAAAAGAAAAUGGUAAUGUUGGAGCAGCUGAGAGGAUGUUUAUACAAGCAAGAUUCUUCGCACCACAAAAUGCCAAGGUCAUUGUGGACCGUUAUUCAAGACAAUGAAUAGUUUCUAAACUGGUCUGGGACUUGGUCACAACUGUUAUUCAAGACAAUGGAUGGUUUUAAAAUUGGAUUGGGAUUUGGUCUGAUGGUGCCCACUGGUUUGUCUACAUAAAAGACAUUUACAAUGCUUUUCUGCAUUUUAAGACUGCAGAGGCCUCCAUUAAAAAUCUUGAUUUCCUCUCUCACCUGAAAGCUUCCACCAUCAUGAUGAAAACAUUUAGAUGUGAGCAUAAGGCUACACAUGUUGGUAUCAACUCUUUAAAGGAGAAAUGCACUAAGCUCAAAACUGCCCAUGAAGUUAAACAAAGUAUUGAAGCCUCUCUGUGAAAGGAUGGCAAAUUAGAAAAGGCUCAGGACGAGAUGAAGGGGCAACUGAUGAAUAUACAAUCAUCCAUGAAGCUAUAUGUUUUUCUCUUACUUGGUGAUGAUGCCAAAAAGGGGGAGAUGGUACUUAAAUCCAAAUGCAGUCCUCAGAAUAUACUGCCAAGGAGAGAUGAAGCUGGUGAUGGUGAAAAUAAGGAUGAAAACUCAUUUAGAAGCAAUAAGGGUGGAAAUUUGAUUGUCGAUGCAUCACAAUUUUUCCAUGCACAAGGAGACCCUGGAUUUUAAAUUGAAAAUAAGAUUAUUACGCCCGAGGACAUCACCUAACAGGCCACCAGGUGCAGAAACCAUCCAAGAAACGAGGAUCAACCAGCUCAAGCUUUGACAUCUUUGACUUGUACCAUAGCCAAACUGGAAAGAUCCAAGGAACGAAUGGUAGAGAAUCCCAUUAUUUACACUCAGGGCCGCUCUUUGGGUUAGGUGACCAAGACGAGCGCUUAAAGCACCACAACGAUCGCAAUGACAAGAGAAGGCAAAAAAAAAUUACAUGUAUGUAGUACACAAUAUAAAUUUAUAUAUAUAUUGCAUGCACUUGAAUGUGCAUUCAAAUAUUACAAGUUUUUUUUAGUUAGUUUUGUCUUUGUUUAUAACUAGUAUUAACUUUAUAUAAUAAUUUUUUUCAUUA